rnacentral:lncRNA from 1 species
CGCGCGCAUGUUUUAGUAUAUUUAAUGUUUUAUUGUUAGCUUGAAAUUGAAGAUGAUCUUUUAUGUACUUGUAUAUAAUUGCCAAAAAUUGCCGAAAAAUGUUUUGGUAUAUUAUAAGCUUGCUCUAGUGCCUUAUUUUAUUAUAUUACGAUUAUCAUCAUCUUAGCUGAUCUUAUAACAUGUAGUUUCUGAUGCUGCUGUGCAAGGUGAUGCUUUUUUUGGCUUAUUAGGGGGAAGCUUUGGUGUUGUCCCAAACUAUGUGGAGGGAAAUAAUUGUUUCAUCCAAUAUAAAUACAUGAUGCUUUAUUCUUGGUUAGGGUCCUUGGAUGAACCACUAUAUAUGGUGGUCCACAAGAAUGUGGAAGCUAAUUCCUCAUGCGGUGCAUGUAUCCUCUAUAAAGCUUAUUGGAGAUCUAUACACUUGUGAUCUUUUGUGUUCCCCGGUGUGUAUGUUGGAGUUUAUUAUUUAACUUAACACAUUUCUUGAAAUAAUAAUAUCUAUAAGUUGAUUCCACAUAGAGGAAUUGGUGUUAAUAUUCAAUUAAACAAAGCUGGCUCAUCUAACCAUGAGUAACUAUUUUGGCGAGAUAGAGAAGAGAGGAUGAAAAAAAUGAAAAUAGGAAUAAAAUCCAAGAAAGCUUAAAUAUUACAAAAAAGUUCACCUACAUUUAGAUGGGAUAUCCUUGAGAGAGCACUAUGGAGUAAAAUAGAAUAAGAGUGUUCUCAUGCAGGUCCAUUCAAUCUUCAUUCAAAGAAGUUUUUUCCAUUAAGUAUAUCUUGUGGUGUGGGACUGGGCUGUCCCUGUUUCUCCAUGGAACAAGAUGCCCCGCUGUCCCAUUUCGUCACCCUCCAUCUUUCUCCCCUUCUUCCCUUUCUUUGUUUCUUUCUUUUUCUUCUUUCUUUUCUUUCUUCCUUCUUUCCUUCCAUCCUUUAUUUCUAUAUCUUCUUCCUUCGUUUCUUUCCUUUUUCUUCUUCUUUCUUUCCCUUCUUCCUUCUUUCCUUCCUUUCUUUUUUUUCUUAUGCCUUCUUUCCUUUUUCUUUCCUUUUU